rnacentral:rRNA from 1 species
CCUACGGGUGGCAGCAGUGGGGAAUAUUGCACAAUGGGGGAAACCCUGAUGCAGCGACGCCGCGUGAGUGAAGAAGUAAUUCGUUAUGUAAAGCUCUAUCAGCAGGGAAGAAAAUGACGGUACCUGAGUCAGAAGCCCCCGCUAACAACGAGCCAGCAGCCGCGGUAUUACGCAGGGGGCAAGCGUUAUCCGGAGUUACUUGGUGUACAGGGAGUGUAGUCGGCUGUGCAAGUCAGGAGUGAAAGUCGGGUGCUCAACCCGCGGCCUGCUCUGGAAACUGUACGGCUGGAGUACAGGAGCGGUAAGUGGAAUUCCUAGUGUAGCGGUGAAAUGCGUAGAUAUUAGGAGGAACACCAGUGGCGAAGGCGGCUUACUGGACUGUAACUGACGUUGAGGCUCGAAAGCGUGGGGAGCAAACAGGAUUAGAUACCCUUGUAGUC